rnacentral:rRNA from 1 species
UGAGGAAUAUUGGUCAAUGGGCGGGAGCCUGAACCAGCCAAGUCGCGUGAGGGAGGAAGGUCCUACGGAUUGUAAACCUCUUUAGCCGGGGAGCAACGUGCGCCACGUGUGGCGCAGUGAGAGUACCCGGAGAAUAAGCAUCGGCUAACUCCGUGCCAGCAGCCGCGGUAAUACGGAGGAUGCGAGCGUUAUCCGGAUUUAUUGGGUUUAAAGGGUGCGUAGGCUGUUUGCCAAGUCAGAGGUGAAAGGCCGCAGCUCAACUGUGGAAUUGCCUUUGAUACUGGCAGGCUUGAAUACUGUUGCCGUGGGAGGAAUGAGUAGUGUAGCGGUGAAAUGCAUAGAUAUUACUCAGAACACCGAUUGCGAAGGCAUCUCACGAAGCAGACAUUGACGCUGAGGCACGAAAGCGUGGGGAUCAAACAGGAUUAGAUACCCUGGUAGU